AUACCUACAUACACACACAGCUAAUUUUGCUUACCUUUUUUUGCAGGAGUGUGGCUGAUGGCAGUCGGCGUGGCUCCUGCGGCCUGGCUCUCUUCCCUCAUGGAGGGAGCUGGGAGGAAGUGACCACCGGCUGUCACUUCCUCCCAGCAGUACUUUGCAGCUUUUAUUUAUUUAUUUUUUUUUUUUUUUAAUUGCCCGGUCGCUCUAUUGCACGGCCGCAGCGCUGACCUGGCCCCUGAAGAUAUAGGGCCUAUCAGGUGGCCCUGAGUGCUUGGGCUGGGUUCCGGACCCUGACAGGCUGUAGUUUGAGGACCCCUGACCUUGAGCAAGGACCUGCUUUAGUGUAUAGAGCUUUAGGUGGAACAGUCCCCACCUAAGGAUACACGUGAACCCAGGUCAGCAACACGAACAGGAUGUGAGGGAAGUAAGCAAAGGACUGGAUAUUAUUAAAAAAACUGGAAUAUAGUAAAAAUAAACUAGGAUGAAUAGAGAUAAAAACCAGUACUCAGAUCAGGUGUAAUUCUGUUGCAGGAAUGAAAGUAU